UCACGGCAGGAGCGGGCGACAGAAUCCGGUCUCGGAGCCUCCUGUAGCGAGGUCUGCGCGGCAGGUGCACUGGGCGGACCUGGAGGCCGCGCCCUCCCCCCCCGCCUCCUGCCGCCCGGCAGCGCUGCGCGGAGCUGGCUCUGUCCACGUAGCGGGUGCUGAACGCCCCAUUCUGGCCCCUGGGUGCUCGCUUAGUCCCGGCCACGCGUGGCUGCUCGCCCUCGGGACACACUGGGCGCUGGGAAGGCCGGGCGGGGAGCGCGCACCGGAGAAACCGCUGUGGGAAUCCCGGCCACAUUUCCAGGCCCCUUGGGCCGUCCCACGCCAGACAAGAAAGCCCUGACUCCGAAACCCUGGGCGAGUGUGGAGGGCGCGCGGGGGUGGGGUGUACCCGCCCACGCAAACUGCUGCUGAUCUCCCUUAAAGCCGAGUUAGAGGCUUGGGGCGAGACAGGAGUGACGGGCGAUGCUGUCACUCCAUCUGUCAUUCUACCCAGCCUGCAGCAGCUGAAUUCGAACCCAGAGACUUCAGGCCUUUGCGUUGUUACCGCAGUCCGCAUUUCAAAGCCAGAGUUUGGCCACUGAGUCACCAUGACCUCGAGUACUGGCGGGGCCCGAGCCAGCAGAGCUAGCCACAGGAGGGAGCCUCCCAGGUGGUCGACCGGAGCCAGGUGCUGCCAGGCACCCGACUGCAGAGCUUGCCCUCCAGGUGAUCUCGCAGUAUCGGUGUUCACAAGCCCUGUAAGGCACUCGGGGUAUCCUGAAGGCUACAGAUUCUGCAAGGGCAGAGACUUUAAGGAACAGCCAUAGUCCUUCUCCAGCUCAAAAUCUGGACCAUGGGCACAAGGUACACAUUGGGACCAUGCCAGGAGCUCUCCCAGAGGAGGAGGCCAGGCUGGCAGGGAGCCAGGUAGAGUUAC
rnacentral:lncRNA from 1 species